rnacentral:rRNA from 1 species
UCACACAAGAGACCCAAAUUAAUCGUAUACGGCGUAAAGAGUGGACCCAUGAUUAUCAAAAUAAUUAAGGCCAAAACGUGACUAGGCUGUCAUAAGCUUAAGAUACGCUUAAAACCACCCUAAAAAUGACCUUAACACACAUGAUUAAUUAAACUCCACGAAAGCUAGGUCACAAACUGGGAUUAGAUACCCCACUAUGCCUGGCCCUAAAUCUUGAUGCUUCAACUACUAAAGCAUCCGCCAGAGAACUACGAGCACAAACGCUUAAAACUCUAAGGACUUGGCGGUGCCCCAAACCCACCUAGAGGAGCCUGUCCUAUAAUCGACAAUCCACGAUACACCCGACCACUUCUUGCCAAAACAGCCUACAUACCGCCGUCGCCAGCUCACCUUCACUGAGAGAGCAGCAGUGAGCUCAAUCGCCCUUACCCCGCUAACAAGACAGGUCAAGGUAUAGCCCAUGAAGUGGAAGAGAUGGGCUACAUUUUCUAGUCUAGAAAACCACUUCCAUUCAACGGAUAGGGGUAUGAAACUUUGCCCCCUGAAGGAGGAUUUAGCAGUAAAGCAGGACAAUAAAUGCCCACUUUAAACUGGCUCUGAGGCACGUACAUACCGCCCGUCACCCUCCUCAUAAGCCUACAACCCCCUACCCCAUUAAUAAUACACCCACUCGCUAAAGAUGAGGUAAGUCGUAACAAGGUAAGUGUACCGG